CCUACGGGGGGCAGCAGUGGGGAAUAUUGGACAAUGGGGGGAACCCUGAUCCAGCCAUGCCGCGUGUGUGAAGAAGGCCCUCGGGUUGUAAAGCACUUUCAGUGAGGAAGAACGCCUGGUGGUUAAUACCCAUCAGGAAAGACAUCACUCACAGAAGAAGCACCGGCUAACUCCGUGCCAGCAGCCGCGGUAAUACGGAGGGUGCGAGCGUUAAUCGGAAUUACUGGGCGUAAAGCGCGCGUAGGUGGCUUGAUAAGCCGGUUGUGAAAGCCCUGGGCUCAACCUGGGAACGGCAUCCGGAACUGUCAAGCUAGAGUGCAGGAGAGGAAGGUAGAAUUCCCGGUGUAGCGGUGAAAUGCGUAGAGAUCGGGAGGAAUACCAGUGGCGAAGGCGGCCUUCUGGACUGACACUGACACUGAGGUGCGAAAGCGUGGGUAGCAAACAGGAUUAGAUACUCCUGUAGUC
rnacentral:rRNA from 1 species